rnacentral:rRNA from 3 species
AAACAACUCUCGGCAACGGAUAUCUUGGCUCACGCAUCGAUGAAGAACGUAGCAAAAUGCGAUACUUGGUGUGAAUUGCAGAAUCCCGUGAACCAUCGAGUUUUUGAACGCAAGUUGCGCCCGAGGCCACUUGGCUGAGGGCACGUCUGCCUGGGUGUCACGCAU